GUCCGAAUGUAGCUCUGCCCCUGCAAGAGUACGGUGCAAAAAUAUUUCUGAACUGCUACAAAAACUGUUCACAUUCUUCCCGCAUUUACAAGCAUCUAUUUUCAUUUCCAAGUUCCAACUACAAACUUAGAAAUGCUAUAUAAUUACACAUGUGAAUGCAAAAAUAUUAUAAUUACAUAAGCUUUAAUAUCUAACUGGCCUGCAAUUCAAGUAUGCUAUUUGAGCUGCUUCACUUUUCUGCCUAAUGUCCUCGUACAUUUUCAGUGAAGCCUCAGAAAAUUUGUUCAGUCUAUCAAGAACCUUUGUCAAACUUGCUUGUAUGCAGCUCAAGCUUGAAGCAGCCUCAUCAUUUUUCUCAUCAUCUUUGCUCCCCGAUUCUCCAUUAUUUUCAUCAAUUAAUUUCUCCUUGUUUGGUAAUUGUUCCACCUGUUGCUCCAUUAAAUGGCAAAGGUCAGAUAUGAAGGUUUUGAUGGCAUUGCCAAGUUCCUCAGAUGGCAAAGCUUUUAUGCCAGCUGACCAAUCACGACAAAGAACAAAAAUAGGAGGGGCCAGGGCUCGACGAGGGGAGAAUGGUUUCCUGCUCUUGGAACGCUCUUGUGGUUGCAGAAUACAGUUUUGCAGCCAUCCAUUGAGGGCUUCCACAUAGGACGCAUGACUGUUAACCCAGUUUGCAAAGCUCAGGCCAAAACACUCUAUCUCCUCCACGAGCUGAGCCACAAUCUGCCUGCGAGUAUCUCCCUGUGGAGUUCCUGUUGUAUUUCUUGAAUGGUAUGCCAAAGAGAUGGUGAUGUACUGCGCAUGAUGGCAUUCAAGCAUAGCCUUCCACAUCCUGAUCAGCCCUUGAAUUAGCUCUAGAAGUUGAGGCUGCAACUCUUCAUCUCGCAUUUUCUCAAUCCGCUUUGAUAUUGUAUCAACAGAAUGAAUUGCAACUAUUAUCCUUGAAUGUAGAUCCUUCACAACUGCACGUGUCUUGUCAAUCACUUGAGCACUAUGAUCCUUGGCAAAUUGAUGCCUUAGUUGGUCACAUUUCUGAUCAUAAUCCUUCCUGAUAGAUUCACUGGCCUUUACUUCAUCAUAUAGUUUUCUUUCCCAUGCAUAUAGCCUAUCAAGGGUAGAAGAGUGACUUCCAGCAAUCAUGCAGAACUCUUCAACAAAAUCACUACCACUAUCAGAGAUAUCAUCUCUUGUUGCCACGGCAAGUGGAUUUCUUGAUGAAGAUGACCUUGAAGAUGCUGUCCGCUUCCAUGUAAUGACCUUAGUAACAUGUUCUGCAGGUUCUAAAAUGUUGGAGAAGACUAAAUGGUAUGAAAAGACAAGAAAUGCUGCGCCCAUUAAACUAGUAAAAAAGAGUAGGAAAAUCUAUAUCAAAUAAAUCUGCCUGCAAGUUGAAAUAAACUAUGGACUCAACACCCAUAAGCCAUAAGGCACCAAUGGGUACGUAUAGAUGGUGGCCCUAAAUGCCAAGAAUCAUUUGGCCCCAUGAGCAAAGUAAAUGAAAUAUUGAAUUGUUAAACAGUUACAACAUGCAUUUCCGAUUCUUUGUGCAACGGAUACAACCCAAAAAAGCAAUUUACACCGUUGAACAGGUUAUAAAUAUUUGGCAUUUGAUGCAACUUACUGCUGAAUCUGAUGAAAUCAGUAUAAAUCAGUUUCUGCACCUAAAACGUUACAAAUUCUUAAAAGCUGACCCAAAGCUUGAUUUGCUUGAAGUUAAGCUUACCAUGAGACACAAGUGCAGUCUUUCCACGGCAGCAUAUAUGGAAAGCUGUCAGAAAUGCUGAUGCAGACGAACUCCCUAUGACAAUCAAAGUUAUUACAAAGUAAUUUUGCAUAAAGAUUUAGCAAUGAAGAACCUACAUGAAUAAAAGCAUACAUGAAUUUGCAUUGCAGUGGACAAAUAAGGAACCUGCUUAUAAAUUAGCUGUUAAUUAUCAACAAAGACAAUUACCUUUCCUCUCAGAAUAUCCAACCCUUAUAUUGUUUGCCUCAAGCAUCCUCGAGACUUCCUUGCCAGAUUCAGAAGCUCUAAAGAAUCGAUGUUCUAUAUCCUUUAUGCUUGACAGAAAAUCUUUAGCCCUAUGGGUAAUGAACUCCGAUGGAUCUUCUCUCUCUGCAGAUAAAUCUUUCAUGGCCAUUUCUUUUUCUUUCUUUGAACCUGACCGCUCAAGAGUUAAACCAUUGGCAUUUUGGGCCAUUUCCACCUGUGCCCCUUGAAUAUCCAUUGGUUUUCUAGUAGAACCUUCAACUCCCAUCAAUCUACCUGAAUGAGCAUUACUAUCUACUCUUAUAACAUAACUGCCAUUACGUGUUGCAGAGUUACCAGAGGUUUCUAAAUCCUUUUUCUUCAGUCCAGGCCCUAUAAUUCCUUCAUGUCCUUGACCAUUUCCCUCUAAACUAACUUUCGUCCAUUUCCCCUUUGCAUCUACUAUAUUAUGGUCAAUGCCAACCCUUUCGCCCCUAAAUUCGUUCAAUCCUCUAGCAUCAUCAAAAUCCGCAUCCAAUUCAUUUUCCCUCACAAAUCUAAAACUUUCACAAUUAUUACUAGGAUCAAAAUAAUCCCAAGAACCACCCGACACAAAAGGAGGUGGUGGCGGUGGCAUUGGCAUGCAAAAUGACUCAUCCUCAACAAAACCAUCAGUACUAUUAUUCAAAUUAAUCUUGACAGUCACUGGAUUAGUAGCACCCCUAACUCUCAUGUAACUCAUAUUAAUCACUGGGGGUGAAAUGGGGCUUUCAUUAUGCAAGGGUGAAUCCGAAGCCUCUGGAACGUGAGAGGGAGAGGGAGAGGGGUAUGAAGAGUGUGAUGGAGUCUUGUAAAGUUCAGUGGCUGAGGUUGUUGAUAGAGAAGAUUCCAUCAAAAUCUCUGCUUCGGCAUAUCGCCGGAGAGCUAUGCCAAUGUUUUUCAAAGAGUUAAUAUAAGAGACAUGAGAUGCAGCGAGAUUGUACCUUGAAUCAAUUGCUUGCUUUAUGAAUCUCCUGCGUUCUUUGCAUAGGCGCAAAGCUUCAUUUCUGUCUGCUUUGGAGCUCGCAGAACCCAUAUUUUAGAGAAGAAAGGAAAACCCAGUUCAUGAAAUAAACUUCAUUUUUUAGUAUCUAAACAGAAUAUCUUAGAAUGAUGAAGACCUUGAAAAAUCAAAAUUUUUCAGUAGAAAUUGCAAGAACCGGUAAUGUAGACCAACUGCAUUUUCCUGGUGUCCAAAGAGAAAUAUCCUUAAAAGACCCAAAGAAAACAACUGAACAUAACACCUUGAACGACCAAACUUUUCACUACAAAUUUAACACCCCAUUUUAUGGAGCAAACUUCGGCCUUGGGAGUCUGUAAAAGAAAUACUUGGAAACAGUAAUAAAACCCACAACUUCAACGCUAGCAAAACGAAGGAAAUGAUAAUAAAGAAAAGGCAAAACCUUUUCUCCUUCAAAAUCCAACUUUAGAUUAGAACAGAGCAAGACAGAGCAACCUUUUUCCAGCCACAGGAGAUGAUGUGUUCUACAAGAAAUGAGAAACCCACUUGGAGAAAGCUUUUAUUAUAGGAUUGGGACAAGACAUAGAGUGAAAAUCGAAAACGAAGUAGAAAUGGUUGGACUUUUCUUUCAGGGUAGAACAGAGCACAGAAGAAAGCUAAAAGGCACAGUGGGAGCAGUUGUUUUCAGAGGAAGAAGGUAACAUUAAACAGCAAAGAGUAGUUGGGAAGUCAUAAAAUCAAAGCCAUUAACGGAAACCUGAAAGAUUGAAAGCAAUGAAUGUGAGGCCUGAGAUGCAUCACUCUUCAGGCUCCAAAAGCAAAGAUUUUGCAGAAGCAGAGAGAGA
rnacentral:misc_RNA from 1 species